AAUAACUUUUAUCACUUUUUCAAAUAAGCACAGUUUUUGGCCAGCUCUCAUGUGCUUGUCCACUGAAGCUAAGCAGAGCUGUGCCAGGUCAGUACCUGGAUGGGAGAACACAUGGGAAAGCUAGGAAGUGGUGUUA
rnacentral:rRNA from 1 species